GCCAAUGCGAUUAUCGUAACGUAAUGAUUUCCUUGCGACGGCAAAAAUAUCGGAUUUUACCCAAGUUCAAUUGCUUUGAAAAAGGUGAAAAAUAUAUUGUAUGAGCAAACAAUUGAUAUGUAAUUAAAGUUCAGACAUUUAUCUUUCUAAAUAUAUAAGUUUUAUGGGUAUUGCAGUGAUUUGGUUCGAUAAAAAAAAUGUUUGAAGUGGAGUUGUUUUGAAAAAAAUGGCCGCCGGAAAAACUAUGUGUCAAAGGUACUACUGAUUUUGAAAUUCAUUCCGCAAGCUAUUACUCGUCAGAUUUUCUUCAUUGAUGGCUUAAAAUUUUGGAAAUAUAUUCAAGUUUUAUGAUCCGGUUGUCAGUCAUACUUAACGGUCGAUUUUCAGUAUAGAUAUGAAAAAUCUUUGAAAUAGAUGUGAAAAAAAAAUCGUUUACGACUUUGUAAACACCACUGACACUCGGAUUCAUAAAUUCCAGAACUCUCUCCUUCCACACGUAUCCAUGGUUUCACAUGGAAAACAAUAGCGGCUUGCGGAAUUGAUUGGAUAUUUGUAUGAGCAGGGCGUGGUUUUCACGCAAAAAAUCUGCGAAAAGAGUUAUCUGUUCUUGACUUCCGGAAGUGACGUAUCCGCCAUUGUGUCUAACAUGAAACAUGAAACUUGUAACAAAAUGACUUUUACCGACUAUUUUUUGGACGGACUGCUUACUGAGAGGACAGACAACGUUGGAAAUAGGCCACGGAGGCCAAUCACGUAAGGAAUGAUACUGUCUGUCCAUCCAUCUGCCUGAAAGGAUCUUCUCCCAGUUAGACAGUCUCAUCAGAGUCAUGUGGAGAGUCACUAUACCAACGCCCUGGAGGGAAAUACCAAUAUUGGACUCAAAACCCAUACAGUGAAUUGGUUAGAAAGAAUGGAUGAAGCACAUCCUGAACAUAUAUGGUAAAUUCUGGUGAAGAAACAGCUCGGACCUGAAAAUAUAUACUUUAGAACAUUCAAUAAACUUAGUCAAAUGAUGAAUAGUUAAUGUAUCAUUAUUAUAAUGAAUACCAAAACAGUUCAGAUAGUCACUAUUGCAAAUCCCAAUGGAUUAUUAGACUUAAAGACUGCAUUGAUCUUGGUCUUUAUAUAUAAUAAGUUCUCGACAUAUCCAUUUUUUAUAGGAAUAACAGGUUUUUCGCAAAAUAUUUACCAAUUUUUUUGAAUAAUGAGAAUAUUUUAGUGUAAAUAAUACAUUUUCCAAGAGAAAACAUCAUUAUAGCAAUGUCUGACUAAACAAUGACUUAACUCUUAGAGUUUAAAUGGAUUAUUUUUAUUUUCUCGGUCAAAAUUUGGGAUUUUUCAAAAUUACAGUUUUUUUUCAUGCAGGUAUAGGGCUAACCAAAUUCCAUCUAGAAUAAAUAUCAAUCAGUCAAAUACAAUGAAAUUAGGUUCAUCUGAAAGCUAAGAUUGUAAGCUUUAGUAUGAUACCAAACAUGUGUAAAAAUCUUCAAUUUUCCGUUAAAUUUUUGCAUAACUGCGCAAAUAUUUGAAAAAAUCCGUGAUUUUCAAAAUUGUCAAAACAUUUCUUAUUUUUGACCAUUUUUUAAAUUUGUAUUGCAUUAAAUUCUAUUUAUAUAUGACAAAAAGGUGCUUUUACAUGUAAAGUCACAGUAACAGUCACUAACUUCUGUGAAAAAUUACUGUCAAAUUAUGAAAUUAAGUUUUUGUGUAAAUUUUAGUGUGUUUUUGGCGAAAAAUAGCUCAAAAAUUUACGUCAAAAUGCUGAUUUUCUAAUUCAAUUUUUUUUUAUUAGCUUACAGAGCUUAUUUUAUUUGUGAAACAACUUAAUACCAAUACAAAACAAGUAGUAGAAAAAAUUAGGGAUUUUUUUCCAGCAUUGUCUGACCAAAAAUGUAUUUUUUUCCCAAAAAAAACUACCUAAAAAAAGGGGGGCCUGCCGGCAUGAUUUUGAGUCGGCUAAAAAAAAAUUCAGAUAUGUUGGCAAUACAACUGUUAAAAUAUUUCUGUUGACUGUUUAGGUCUUUACAUAACUGCAAACAACCAGACCUCUGCCUGCUUUCCAUUUCAAGAUAUCAAUGUCUUAACAUAGCAGUUUAUUCAAAGAUGCCCUUGACACAUAGCAAAAAAAAACUAAGUC